rnacentral:rRNA from 1 species
AACGAACGCUGGCGGCAGGCUUAACACAUGCAAGUCGAACGCAUCGCAAGAUGAGUGGCAGACGGGUGAGUAACGCGUGGGAACAUACCCUUUUCUACGGAAUAGCUCUGGGAAACUGGAAUUAAUACCGUAUACGCCCUACGGGGGAAAGAUUUAUCGGGGAAGGAUUGGCCCGCGUUGGAUUAGCUAGUUGGUGGGGUAAAGGCCUACCAAGGCGACGAUCCAUAGCUGGUCUGAGAGGAUGAUCAGCCACAUUGGGACCGAGACACGGCCCAAACUCCUACGGGAGGCAGCAGUGGGGAAUAUUGGACAAUGGGCGAAAGCCUGAUCCAGCCAUGCCGCGUGAGUGAUGAAGGCCUUAGGGUUGUAAAGCUCUUUCACCGAUGAAGAUAAUGACGGUAGUCGGAGAAGAAGCCCCGGCUAACUUCGUGCCAGCCGCCGCCGUAAGAC